CUUAAGUUAGCUUUAAAAAAAAAACAGUCUUGAAGUGCGACUCGAUUCUUAUCGAUAUGAUGAACAUGGAACUAGAUAGCGUACAAAAAGCUCAAAUCAGUCCCUCGUGUUGAUCAUGAAUAUAUAAAUUAUAAGGGAUCGGAGAUGUAUUCUGCUUCCUAAAUGCAUUUGCUCAAAACCAAAAGGCAGCAGCUCGUCAGAGGAUUAAAUCCCUUGAAGCAGGUGAGUGUGAGGAUAAAACAAGCUGCCAGGAAGACUUAUAAACAGAAAUGUAGGAGAUUGGAAGUCUUGGUGCUUCGAUGGCAUCAGGUUAGAAAGGAAGUCAGGUAUGAUAAAUUUCAGAGGCAGUUCUAGGCAUACGAUUCAUGAACUAAAAUCAAACAAAACACGCAUGGGACUUAUUUUAUAUCAAAAUAUUAAGAUUUAUUACGAUUUGUUACAA